AGGACCGUGCUUCUCAACACUUGAUGUGCAUAGGAAGCACCUAGUGACCUUGUCAGAAUGCAAAUUGUGAUUGGGUAGGUCUGGGAUGAAGCCUGGGCACCUGCAUUUUUAACAGUGAUGUCUUGCUGUGAACAGAAUAGUUUCUAAUCUCCCCAAAUUUGGCACCAUCCUGGAGAGAGGCUCUGCAGAAAUGAAAGUUACAUGUAACAUCAUAGUAAAGCUUAAUCCCUGUUAUUUUAGAUAAAGCUUAAUCUCCAUUAUUCUUCAAUGAUGAACAGAAUUUCAUUUCAUUGGAUAACUCAGGACAUUGUGGACAGUGAUAUCCAUGGAAAGCAAGGUGCGGUGGCUCAUGCCUAUAAUCCCAACACUUUAGGAGGCUGAGGAGUUCAAGACCAGCCUGGACAACGUAGCAAGAAUCCAUCUCUACAAAAAAUUAAAUUAGUCAGGCAUGGUGGUGGGCUCAUGUAGUCCCAGCUACUCAGGAGGAUGAAGCAGGAGGAUAGCUUCAGCCUGGGAGAUUGAGGCUGCAGUGAGAUAUGAUU
rnacentral:lncRNA from 10 species